AGAGUUUGAUCCUGGCUCAGAGCGAACGCUGGCGGCAGGCUUAACACAUGCAAGUCGAACGCUCCUAGCAAUAGGGGAGUGGCAGACGGGUGAGUAACGCGUGGGAACAUACCCUUUGGUUCGGAAUAACUCGGCGAAAGCCGUGCUAAUACCGGAUAAGCCCCUUACGGGGGAAAGAUUUAUCGCCGAAGGAUUGGCCCGCGUCCGAUUAGCUAGUUGGUGAGGUAAUGGCUCACCAAGGCGACGAUCGGUAGCUGGUCUGAGAGGAUGAUCAGCCACACUGGGACUGAGACACGGCCCAGACUCCUACGGGAGGCAGCAGUGGGGAAUAUUGGACAAUGGGCGCAAGCCUGAUCCAGCCAUGCCGCGUGAGUGAUGAAGGCCUUAGGGUUGUAAAGCUCUUUCGACGGGGACGAUAAUGACGGUACCCGUAGAAGAAGCCCCGGCUAACUUCGUGCCAGCAGCCGCGGUA
rnacentral:rRNA from 1 species